rnacentral:rRNA from 1 species
GACAGAGGUGCCGAGCGUUAGGCGGAAUCACUGGGCUUAAAGCGUGUGUAGGCGGGUCGUUAAGUACCUUGUGAAAUCCCACGGCUCAACCGUGGAACCGCUGGGUGUACUGGCGAUCUUGAGCGACUCAGGGGUCACCGGAACAGGCGGAGGAGCGGUGAAAUGCGUAGAUAUCGCCUGGAACGCCGGCGGCGAAAGCGGGUGACUGGGAGUCGGCUGACGCUGAGACACGAAAGCCAGGGGAGCGAACGGG